CAGUCGCCGCGGGAAUACGGAGGGAGCUAGCGUUGUUCGGAAUCACUGGGCGUAAAGCGCACGUAGGCGGCUAUUCAAGUCAGGGGUGAAAGCCCGGGGCUCAACCCCGGAACUGCCUUUGAAACUAGAUAGCUUGAAUCUUGGAGAGGCGAGUGGAAUUCCGAGUGUAGAGGUGAAAUUCGUAGAUAUUCGGAAGAACACCAGUGGCGAAGGCGACUCGCUGGACAAGUAUUGACGCUGAGGUGCGAAAGCGUGGGGAGCAAACAGGAUUAGAUACCCGAGUAGUCCCUGUCUCUUAUAC
rnacentral:rRNA from 1 species